rnacentral:rRNA from 1 species
AACCCUCGCCAUUAGUUGCCAUCAUUUAAGUUUGGGCACUCUAGUGGGACCGCCGGUGGUAAGCCGGAGGAAGGUGGGGAUGACGUCAAGUCCUCAUGGCCCUUACGGGGUGGGCUACACACGUGCUACAAUGGCGACUACAGAGGGCAGCAAGCCAGCGAUGGGGAGCUAAUCCCUAAAAGUCCGUCUCAGUUCGGAUUGCACUCUGCAACUCGAGUGCAUGAAGUCGGAAUCGCUAGUAAUCGCGGAUCAGCAUGCCGCGGUGAAUACGUUCCCGGGCCUU